UGGGCGGGACGGGGUGGAGUAACGCGUGGGUAACCUGCCUCAUACAGGGGGAUAACAGUUAGAAAUGACUGCUAAUACCGCAUAAGACCACAGUACCGCAUGGUACAGGGGUAAAAACUCCGGUGGUAUGAGAUGGACCCGCGUCUGAUUAGGUAGUUGGUGGGGUAACGGCCUACCAAGCCGACGAUCAGUAGCCGACCUGAGAGGGUGACCGGCCACAUUGGGACUGAGACACGGCCCAA
rnacentral:rRNA from 1 species